rnacentral:rRNA from 1 species
ACGCUGGCGGCAUGCUUUACACAUGCAAGUCGGACGGCAGCACAGAGAAGCUUGCUUCUUGGGUGGCGAGUGGCGAACGGGUGAGUAAUAUAUCGGAACGUACCGAGUAAUGGGGGAUAACUAAUCGAAAGAUUAGCUAAUACCGCAUAUUCUCUGAGGAGGAAAGCAGGGGACCUUCGGGCCUUGCGUUAUUCCAGCGGCCGAUAUCUGAUUAGCUAGUUGGUGGGGUAAAGGCCUACCAAGGCGACGAUCAGUAGCGGGUCUGAGAGGAUGAUCCGCCACACUGGGACUGAGACACGGCCCAGACUCCUACGGGAGGCAGCAGUGGGGAAUUUUGGACAAUGGGCGCAAGCCUGAUCCAGCCAUGCCGCGUGUCUGAAGAAGGCCUUCGGGUUGUAAAGGACUUUUGUCAGGGAAGAAAAGGCUGUUGCUAAUACCGACAGCUGAUGACGGUACCUGAAGAAUAAGCACCGGCUAACUACGUGCCAGCAGCCGCGGUAAUACGUAGGGUGCGAGCGUUAAUCGGAAUUACUGGGCGUAAAGCGAGCGCAGACGGUUACUUAAGCAGGAUGUGAAAUCCCCGGGCUCAACCUGGGAACUGCGUUCUGAACUGGGUGACUAGAGUGUGUCAGAGGGAGGUAGAAUUCCACGUGUAGCAGUGAAAUGCGUAGAGAUGUGGAGGAAUACCGAUGGCGAAGGCAGCCUCCUGGGAUAACACUGACGUUCAUGCUCGAAAGCGUGGGUAGCAAACAGGAUUAGAUACCCUGGUAGUCCACGCCCUAAACGAUGUCAAUUAGCUGUUGGGCAACUUGAUUGCUUAGUAGCGUAGCUAACGCGUGAAAUUGACCGCCUGGGGAGUACGGUCGCAAGAUUAAAACUCAAAGGAAUUGACGGGGACCCGCACAAGCGGUGGAUGAUGU